UUGAUUGAUUUAUCAUUCGACUCCGACGCAAGGACGCAGGGUUUUGAUUGGGGCCGUCCGGGGCGCCCGCCGAAGCGGGCCACCCCGAGGCAACGCGGUGCGGUCGACAAAGGGUUGGGAGGUCGGGCGCGCGAGGCGCCCUCUCUCGGUAAUGAUCCCUCCGCAGGUUCACCUACGGAGA
rnacentral:misc_RNA from 1 species